rnacentral:misc_RNA from 1 species
AUGCGAUAAGUAGUGUGAAUUGCAGAAUUCCGUGAAUCAUCGAAUCUUUGAACGCACAUUGCGCCUCCUGGCAUCCCGGGAGGCAUGCCCGUUCGAGCGUCAUCAAAGCCCCCUCAAGCCUCUUUGCUUGGUCGUGGGAUCGGGGCCCCCGCCGCUUCGCGGGGCCCCCUCCCGAAUGUCAUGGAGCGGUGCCCGCGCUGGGACGUCGGAAGUAAUAAUAAGCACAAUUUCCUCCGACCGAGCCCGGCCGAAAGGUUCCCGCCCGCCGAACCCCCAAUCAUCUACAAGGCAUGACCUCGGAUGGGUAGGGAUACCCGCUGAACUUAA